GUGGCUUAAUUUGACUCAACGCGGGAAAUCUUACCGGGUCCGGACACACUGAGGAUUGACAGGCAAUAUCUAAAUCGUUUAUAAUAAUUCCUAUUAUAAUACGCUUUUAGUGUUAAAUAUGCUAGUCCUUUCAUGAUUAUGUGAUAGGUGGUGCAUGGCCGUUCUUAGUUCGUGGAGUGAUCUGUCUGCUUAAUUGCGUUUCACUAAGGGCCCAUAAAUUCAAGGUAUGUUAGCUAUCGUUUCUCAAUUGACCCCUUGUCUUCGAUAAGCGCGUGUCUUUUAGAGUUUAAACAUUGCGCAUGCUGUUGGGUCCUGAAAGCAACGAACGUGACCGCAACGUCUUAUUGCCUUUAUCUUGCUAUAUUUUAAUUUAAUUAAAAAUAGCUAACAGAGGCUAAUUUAAAAUUAGACGGACCGCUGUACUUUUCUUAAACCAGAGGAAGGUUGCGGCAAUAACAGGUCUG
rnacentral:rRNA from 1 species